CCUACGGGAGGCAGCAGUGGGGAAUAUUGCGCAAUGGGCGAAAGCCUGACGCAGCGACGCCGCGUGAGGGAUGAAGGUCUUCGGAUCGUAAACCUCUGUCAGCAGGGAAGAACGGUCCCUGUGCUAAUCAGCAGUGCAUUGACGGUACCUGCAAAGGAAGCACCGGCUAACUCCGUGCCAGCAGCCACGGGAAUACGGAGGGUGCGAGCGUUAAUCGGAAUUACUGGGCGUAAAGCGCUCGUAGGCGGUAUGUCAAGUCAAGGGUGAAAUCUCCGCGCUCAACGUGGGAACUGCCUUUGAAACUGGCAAACUGGAGUGUGUGAGAGGAGAGUGGAGUUCCAGGUGUAGGAGUGAAAUCCGUAGAUAUCUGGAGGAACAUCAGUGGCGAAGGCGGCCUGCUGGACGGUGACUGACGCUGAGGCUCGAAAGCGUGGGGAGCAAACAGGAUUAGAUACCCCUGUAGUC
rnacentral:rRNA from 1 species